UUAAAUUGAAGAGUUUGAUCAUGGCUCAGAUUGAACGCUGGCGGCAGGCCUAACACAUGCAAGUCGAACGGUAACAGGAAGCAGCUUGCUGCUUUGCUGACGAGUGGCGGACGGGUGAGUAAUGUCUGGGAAACUGCCUGAUGGAGGGGGAUAACUACUGGAAACGGUGGCUAAUACCGCAUAACGUCGCAAGACCAAAGAGGGGGACCUUCGGGCCUCUUGCC
rnacentral:rRNA from 4 species